CGGGCUAAACCCGCGUACAUGCACCGGGGCAUCCCGGAGGCAGGAAAGGCUUCGGCCGGACAGGGAUGGGCAUGCGGCGCAUUAGGCAGUAGGCGGGGUAACGGCCCACCUAACCGACGAUGCGUAGGGGUUCUGAGAGGAAGGUCCCCCACACUGGUACUGAGACACGGACCAGACUCCUACGGGAGGCAGCAGUGAGGAAUAUUGGUCAAUGGUCGGGAGACUGAACCAGCCAAGCCGCGUGAGGGAUGAAGGUACAGAGUAUCGUAAACCUCUUUUGUCAGGGAACAAAGGCGGGGACGUGUCCCCGGAUGAGUGUACCUGAAGAAAAAGCAUCGGCUAACUCCGUGCCAGCAGCCGCGGUAAUACGGAGGAUGCGAGCGUUAUCCGGAUUUAUUGGGUUUAAAGGGUGCGCAGGCGGUCUGUUAAGUCAGCGGUCAAAGCCCGGGGCUCAACCCCGGCCCGCCGUUGAAACUGGCAGUCUCGAGUUGGAGAGAAGUAUGCGGAAUGCGCGGUGUAGCGGUGAAAUGCAUAGAUACCGCGCAGAACUCCGAUUGCGAAGGCAGCAUGCCGGCUCCACACUGACGCUGAGGCACGAAAGCGUGGGUAUCGAACAGGAUUAGAUACCCUGGUAGUCCACGCAGUAAACGA
rnacentral:rRNA from 1 species